UCACGUCCGUAUCCUCCCCGUUUACUCUAGCGAUUUCAGGUAUGUGCGGUUAGCAUGUAGCGUUGGCUAAUUCGUUUUAUUUAUCUUUACUCGUUGCACUAAUGGCUCGUUUAUUGCACCCUUAUCCUGUCUUUUCAUCACUGUGUGUGUCCCUGUCGGAUGCUGUUCGGAUCUGUUUACUGCCCACCUUUCAGCGGGUUAUUUGAGGGCUGCGUAUCCUGAGCGGCGAAUUGAUCCUCGUGAACUCCUUUAUCCGCACUUGGAUUCUCACUCUCUUUUCGUCCUGGCCAUUAUCACUGCAGUUUACUUUUUUCCUCCACUGCGCACCGAGUGACUAAUAUUGGCCUACAAUCAUUUAAAGGGACUUCUGCUGCUACCAUCUGGUUUCUGGGAUAGUUUUUAACU